rnacentral:ncRNA from 18 species
CCGUAGGUGAACCUGCGGAAGGAUCAUU